CCUACGGGAGGCAGCAGUGGGGAAUAUUGCACAAUGGGGGAAACCCUGAUGCAGCCAUGCCGCGUGUGUGAAGAAGGCCUUCGGGUUGUAAAGCACUUUCAGCGGUGAAGAUAAUGACGGUAACCGGAGAAGAAGCCCCGGCUAACUUCGUGCCAGUAGCCGCGGUAAUACGAAGGGGGCUAGCGUUGUUCGGAAUUACUGGGCGUAAAGCGCGCGUAGGCGGAUAGAUAAGUCAGAGGUGAAAUCCCGGGGCUCAACCCCGGAAUUGCCUUUGAUACUGUUUAUCUUGAGUGCAGAAGAGGUAAGUGGAAUUCCGAGUGUAGGGGUGAAAUUCGUAGAUAUUCGGAGGAACACCAGUGGCGAAGGCGGCUUACUGGUCUGCAACUGACGCUGAGGCGCGGAAGCGUGGGGAGCAAACAGGAUUAGAUACCCUCGUAGUC
rnacentral:rRNA from 1 species